rnacentral:tRNA from 1 species
GGCUCCGUGGCUUAAUGGUUACGCUUCUGUCUCCCAAGCAGAAGGUUCAGGGAUCUAAUCCCGGUCGGUACCU